rnacentral:sRNA from 1 species
AAAGACCCUGAAAGAAAAUGCUAAUAAAGCCAAAAGCUUACUGCUCACUACCAUACCUCAGAUAGGGUCCACAGAAUGGUCAGAAACCCUCCAUAACCUGAAGGAAAGGGAGGUGAGGAACCAAGAGUUUAGAGUACCUAAAGUUCUACAUCUGAAUAUGGCCCAGUUUUCUGUUUUAUUACCAAGACAUUAAAGUAGCAUGGCUGCCCAGGAGAAAAGAAGACAUUCUAAUUCCAGUCAUUUUGGGAAUUCCUGCUUAACUUGAAAAAAAUAUGGGAAAGACAUGCAGCUUUCAUGCCCUUUCCUGUCAAAGAGUAUGUUGUAAGAAAGACAAGACAUUGUGUGUAUUAGAGACUCCUGAAUGAUUUGGACAACUUCAAAAUACAGAAGAAAAGCAAA